CAGUCGCCGCGGGAAUACGGAGGAUCCAAGCGUUAUCCGGAUUUAUUGGGUUUAAAGGGUGCGUAGGUGGCCUGUUAAGUCGGGGGUGAAAGACGGUAGCUCAACUAUCGCAGUGCCCUUGAUACUGAUGGGCUUGAAUGAACUAGAGGUAGGCGGAAUGUGACAAGUAGCGGUGAAAUGCAUAGAUAUGUCACAGAACACCAAUUGCGAAGGCAGCUUACUAUGGUUUUAUUGACACUGAGGCACGAAAGCGUGGGGAUCAAACAGGAUUAGAGACCCCGGUAGUCCCUGUCUCUUAUAC
rnacentral:rRNA from 1 species